AAAUGCACCAACUGUAUAUCGCUCUGGAUAAGAGCGUCUGCUAAAUGACUAAAA
rfam:Salmo salar isolate Sally breed double haploid chromosome ssa13, whole genome shotgun sequence.